AAAAAAACCCAGAAAAGAAAUGG
rnacentral:rRNA from 1 species